GGCCUCGGCCAUGCCACCCUGAACAAGCCCGAUCUCAUCUGAUCUCGGAAGCUAAGCAGGGUUGGGCCUGGUUAGUACUUGGAUGGGAGACCACCUAGGAAGACCAGGUGCUGUAGGUG
rnacentral:rRNA from 1 species